rnacentral:pre_miRNA from 1 species
AGUGGGAUAGUUGAGUCAAAUGUUAGUUUCAUUCCAAGUUUUCUGAGUGAUCUCCACACUGCUUUCCAGAGUGGUUGUACCAAUUUGCAGUCCCACCAGCAAU